rnacentral:rRNA from 1 species
AACGAACGCUGGCGGCAGGCCUAACACAUGCAAGUCGAGCGAGACCUUCGGGUCUAGCGGCGGACGGGUGAGUAACGCGUGGGAAUAUGCCCUUCGGUUCGGAAUAGCCCCGGGAAACUGGGAGUAAUACCGGAUACGGUCUACGGACGAAAGAUUUAUCGCCGAAGGAUUAGCCCGCGUUGGAUUAGGUAGUUGGUGGGGGUAAUGGCCUACCAAGCCGACGAUCCAUAGCUGGUUUGAGAGGAUGAUCAGCCACACUGGGACUGAGACACGGCCCAGACUCCUACGGGAGGCAGCAGUGGGGAAUCUUAGACAAUGGGGGAAACCCUGAUCUAGCCAUGCCGCGUGAGCGAUGAAGGCCUUAGGGUUGUAAAGCUCUUUCAGCGGGGAAGAUAAUGACUGUACCCGCAGAAGAAGCCCCGGCUAACUCCGUG